rnacentral:lncRNA from 1 species
UUGAAUUUGCAUAUGGUUGUGUGCAUCUCAGUUAUCCAGAUUCCGGGUGUAAUGCUUAAAUGUUUUAGGUAAUAAAAUGCCUUUUAUCGAAGAGCGAACGUGACGUCGCCUAGAAAUCAUUUGUGCACGUACAAUUUGUGGCACUCGCACGAUUCAAGAGGCCAACGGUCGCACGCGUGUAAAUUUAGAAGGUUUAAAUGAAGACCAAAUUUAGAUUGUAAUAAAAAGGAAAGUUAAAUG